GAGUUUGAUCCUGGCUCAGAGUUAACGCUGGCGGCGUGCCUAACACAUGCAAGUCGAGCGAGGAGUACCAGAAUAUCGGGCUCCUAGCGGCAGACGGGUGAGUAACACGUAAACAAUCUGCCCUCGAAUGGAAGACAACUUGACGAAAGUCGAGCUAAUACUCCAUACAAUCCUCUUGAGGCAUCCCAAGGGGAUGAAAGGCCCGCAAGGGUUGUUCGAGGAGGAGUUUGCGGCCUAUCAGCUAGUUGGCGGUGUAAUAGACCACCAAGGCUAUGACGGGUAGCCGAUCUAAAAGGAUGACCGGCCACAAGGGCACUGAGACACGGGCCCUACUCCUACGGGAGGCAGCAGUGGGGAAUUUUGGACAAUGGACGAAAGUCUGAUCCAGCGACGCCGCGUGAAGGACGAAGGUUUUCGGAUCGUAAACUUCUUUUGCAGGGGACGAAUGAGCGCAAGCUUUUGACGGUACUCUGCGAAUAAGCCACGGCUAACUACGUGCCAGCAGCCGCGGUAAUACGUAGGUGGCGAGCGUUACUCGGAAUUACUAGGCGUAAAGCGCGUGUAGGCGGGAGGUUAAGUCUGCUGUUAAAUCUCAUGGCUCAACCAUGAAAUGCCGGCGGAUACUGGCCUUCUUGAAUUCGGUAGAGGUAACUGGAAUUCCAGGUGUAGCGGUGAAAUGCGUAGAUAUCUGGAAGAACGCCAAAGGCGAAGGCAGGUUACUGGGCCGCAAUUGACGCUGAGACGCGAAAGCGAGGGGAGCAACAGGAUUAGAUACCCCUGGUAGUCCUCGUCGUAAACGAUGUAGACCAGGUGUGGGAGGUAUCGACCCCUUCCGUGCCGACGCUAACGCAUUAAGUCUACCGCCUGGGGAGUACGGCCGCAAGGUUAAAACUCAAAGGAAUUGACGG
rnacentral:rRNA from 1 species